rnacentral:rRNA from 1 species
UACGGGGGGGGCAAGCGUUGUUCGGAAUUACUGGGCGUAAAGGGCUCGUAGGUGGCCAACUAAGUCAGACGUGAAAUCCCUCGGCUCAACCGAGGAACUGCGUCUGAUACUGGAAGGCUUGAAUCCGGGAGAGGGAUGUGGAAUUCCAGGUGUAGCGGUGAAAUGCGUAGAUAUCUGGAGGAACACCGGUGGCGAAGGCGGCAUCCUGGACCGGUAUUGACGCUGAGGCGCGAAAGCUAGGGGAGCAAACGGG